CGGGGUGCAGCAGGCGCGAAAACUUUGCAAUAAGCGAAAGCUUGACAGGGCUAUCCCGAGUGCCAUCCGCUGAGGAAGGCUUUUACCCAGUCUAGAACGCUGGGGGAAUAAGGAGAGGGCAAGUCUGGUGUCAGCCGCCGCGGUAAUACCAGCUCUCCGAGUGGUGUGGAUGUUUAUUGGGCCUAAAGCAUCCGUAGCUGGCUAAGUUAGUCCCUUGUUAAAUCCACCGAAUUAAUCGUUGGAUUGCGGGGGAUACUGCUUGGCUAGGGGACGAGAGAGGCAGACGGUAUUUCCGGGGUAGGGGUGAAAUCCUAUAAUCCCGGGAAGACCACCAGUGGCGAAGGCUGUCUGCUAGAACGCGCCCGACGGUGAGGGAUGAAAGCUGGGGGGGCGAACCGGAUUAGAUACCCGGGUAGUCCCAGCUGUAAACGAUGCAGGCUAGGUGUUUGGACGGCCACGUGCCGUUCUAGUGCCGCAGGGAAGCUGUUAAGCCUGCCGCCUGGGGAGUACGAUCGCAAGAUUGAAACUUAAAGGAAUUG
rnacentral:rRNA from 1 species